AGCGAACAUUUGCGGCGGGCCUAACACAUGCAAGUCGAACGCACUAGCAAUAGUGAGUGGCGCACGGGUGCGUAACACGUGGGUAAUCAACCCUUCAGCCUGGGAUAACGACUCGAAAGGGUCGCUAAUACCGGAUACGGCGCGAGAGGCUUCGGCUUCUCACGAGAAAGCCACGCAAGGGGCACUGAAGGACGAGCCUGCGGCCCAUCAGCUAGUUGGUGAGGUAAGAGCUCACCAAGGCUAAGACGGGUAGCUGGUCUGAGAGGAUGAUCAGCCACACUGGAACUGAGACACGGUCCAGACUCCUACGGGAGGCAGCAGUGGGGAAUAUUGCGCAAUGGGCGAAAGCCUGACGCAGCCACGCCGCGUGAGCGAUGAAGGCCUUCGGUCGUAAGACUCUGUGGGAGAGACGAAGAAAGACCUGUGAGAGCAGGCCUUGACGGUA
rnacentral:rRNA from 1 species